GACGAACGCUGGCGGCGUGCCUAAUACAUGCAAGUAGAACGAGUUGCGAACGGGUGAGUAACGUGUGGGAACCUGCCCCAUAGCGGGGGAUAACCAUUGGAAACGAUAGCUAAUACCGCAUACUUUUGGAUGGACCUGCGUUGCAUUAGGUAGUUGGUGAGGUAAAGGCUCACCAAGGCGACGAUACAUAGCCGACCUGAGAGGGUGACCAGCCACACUGGAACUGGGACACGGUCCAGACUCCUACGGGGGGCAGCAGUGGGGAAUAUUGCACAAUGGGCGCAAGCCUGAUGCAGCCAUGCCGCGUGUAUGAAGAAGGCCUUCGGGUUGUAAAGUACUUUCAGCGGGGAGGCGUUACCCGCAGAAGAAGCCCCGGCUAACUCCGUGCCAGCAUCCGCGGUAAUAC
rnacentral:rRNA from 1 species